ACUUAUCUGACGUCCCGAGCGAGAGGGAGUUUUGAGGUUUUCCUGAUGCGAUUUCGGUCUGCACAGGAUUCCGGGUCGUUGCCGUGUGUCAUCCAACGUUGAAAUCUUAUUGACGUCGGCCAAGAUUAAAGCAGCUGCCUAACCAUAGACCUGUCUAUUUUCAUUAUCCACGAACUCAAGAAGUUUUUUUUGGGCUCUGAUUCUACGAGCUUGUAUUCCUGGAACAAGCGGAUAAGCGGAGAAAAUUACUGUUGGACUUCCUGUAAGGAAAUCCAUCAGCUUCAAUGGAAUCUUGCCCUUCCCAAAUAUCACCUUUCCCUAAAUAAAUCUAUUCCGAAUGGCAA